rnacentral:lncRNA from 1 species
AGAGCCUCCUAGGAUGGCCACGCCGAAGGUGCGGAAGGAGGCGGCUGGCCCAGCGUCAGACGUUUCCAGCAUCCGCGGGAGUGAAACGGAGGCUGGUGGGCCUCAUUCAAUCAGUUGAAUUCUUCAAGAGAGAAAAACUGAAGUCCCUUAGAAGGAAAGAGUUCUGCCUUCAGACUGUCUUUGAACUUAAGACUGUAGCGUCGACUCCUGCCGGAAUUUCCAGCCUGCUGGCCAGCUCUGCAGAUUCACACUUGCCAGCCUCCACAAUCGCAGCUGAGGCGGAGGAACCCUAAGGGCUCAUUGAGAUCAUGGAUUUGCCCUUCUAUGCAUUGAUGGAGCACCUGCUGCCCACAGCGUCUGUAUUUGGUGCUGGGAUGCUGAGGACACUGAGAUCUUCAAACAGAGGCUGCCACUCUAAGCAAACAGAUCCCGAGCCCUGGACUCUGAAGCUUGGGCCCAGUUCUCCUUUUCUCCGGGUUUCAGAUCCCACUGUGAAGUGAGGGGGCCCUUCUGAUUCAGGACCCGGGGAAGCCAGGGGCAUGAGCAUCGGUGCCUCUUCUCUAUUUCAAGGACCCUUCUGGGUGUAAAGUUCUCUGAGAUGCCUUACAUGGAUUCCCACCACUGCAAGAUAACCAUCGUAUGUAAAGUGUUAUGACCAGCAGAGCGUAAUUGAAGUGCAUUCCAGAGGGAAAGACAGCGGCUCAGAUUCUAUUGAAAGAAACAUGACAUAAUGAUACCACAGCAAAAGCCAAUCUUGCUCCUUUUUAAAAAAUUAAAAACAAAACAAAA